UCCUGAAUCCUUGCGUGAUGGUCGUUACAAGAAAGAGUCUGAUAUAAUGAGUGCAGGAAUGGUGGCUUAUUAUGUUGCAACAAAAGUGGAACAUGCUUUUGGAACUAAAGAGAGUAUAUUAAAAAACUUGUUAAAUGGAAACCCUGUUGGCUUGAAGAAAAUCGAUGAUGUUCAACUUAAAGAUCUUCUCUCAUGGAUGCUACAGCAUAAGCCUGAACUCAGGCCAUCAGCCAACGAGGCGUUAAAACAUCCUUAUUUACAAUCCAAUGAGGAAAGUUUUGACAUGCUGUGUGAUGUUGGGAACCAACCGGAGAUAAAGCAACCACAAUAUCAAAAUUCAGAUGUUCGUGAGCAGUUGACUUAUCGCACAACAUGGAUGAAACGUAUCGAUGACGAAGUUUUGAAAGAUUUAAAAACAUUUUAAGUAAAAAACAAAGAAAGAACUGUAACAUACCAGUCUUCGUGGGCAAGUUGUUUGAGAUUCAUACCUAACGUUGAUCAUCACUGGCAUGAUAAACCUCGUCCACGUCUAUCGCCAUUUAUCAAGGAAGGCAACGAUAAAGAUUAUUUCAUUCAACGUUUUCCCGACUUCUUUUUAUAGUGCACAAAAUUAUUAGAACGACUAACUGGAAAGCAAGACCUAAAACAUUUUAUCUAAAACAUAAAUCCUGUGAAAAUUGAAGUAAGUCAAUGGAAAGAAAAGUGAAGAUAUUAUUGACAACCGUAAUCUUGAUGGAAAAUGAAGUAUAACAAACUCUUAACUAAUCAUGUGCCACUUUCUAAUUGUUAAUUUGAGCAACGACCAAGAAAUUGGUUCAUAAAGUCAUAUCAAGGAUUACUUGCAUGUAUAGUCACUGAAGAAUGGAUUAUUAAUAAACUUAAAUUCGAUCAUAUAUGUAUGUAAAGGUCUUAAUUGAUGUAGGGCGUGAAUGCAUGAAAAGUAAUUACGGAAAUGUGUGUAUUAAUUAUAGUCGUAGAGCAUCUUGCAAAUAGAUAUAAUGUUUGUUUUAUACUUCGUCAUAAAAGUUGAAUAUGUUAA